rnacentral:rRNA from 1 species
UACGGAGGAUCCAAGCGUUAUCCGGAAUCAUUGGGUUUAAAGGGUCCGUAGGCGGUCAGAUAAGUCAGUGGUGAAAGCCCAUCGCUCAACGGUGGAACGGCCAUUGAUACUGUCUGACUUGAAUUAUUAGGAAGUAACUAGAAUAUGUAGUGUAGCGGUGAAAUGCUUAGAGAUUACAUGGAAUACCAAUUGCGAAGGCAGGUUACUACUAAUAUAUUGACGCUGAUGGACGAAAGCGUGGGUAGCGAACAGG